CCUACGGGGGGCAGCAGUGGGGAAUAUUGGACAAUGGGGGCAACCCUGAUCCAGCCAUGCCGCGUGUGUGAAGAAGGCCCUCGGGUUGUAAAGCACUUUCAGUGAGGAAGAACGCCUGGUGGUUAAUACCCAUCAGGAAAGACAUCACUCACAGAAGAAGCACCGGCUAACUCCGUGCCAGCAGCCGCGGUAAUACGGAGGGUGCGAGCGUUAAUCGGAAUUACUGGGCGUAAAGCGCGCGUAGGUGGCUUGGUAAGCCGGUUGUGAAAGCCCCGGGCUCAACCUGGGAACGGCAUCCGGAACUGUCAAGCUAGAGUGCAGGAGAGGAAGGUAGAAUUCCCGGUGUAGCGGUGAAAUGCGUAGAGAUCGGGAGGAAUACCAGUGGCGAAGGCGGCCUUCUGGACUGACACUGACACUGAGGUGCGAAAGCGUGGGUAGCAAACAGGAUUAGAUACCCCAGUAGUC
rnacentral:rRNA from 1 species